CCUUCGGGUUGUAAACUCCUGUCAUUUGAGAACAAGGGGCCGGAAGUAACUACUUCGGCCUUGAUAGUAUCAGAAGAGGAAGGGACGGCUAACUCUGUGC
rnacentral:rRNA from 1 species